rnacentral:rRNA from 1 species
AAAUUGAAGAGUUUGAUCAUGGCUCAGAUUGAACGCUGGCGGCAGGCCUAACACAUGCAAGUCGAACGGUAACAGGAAGCAGCUUGGCUGCUUUGCUGACGAGUGGCGGACGGGUGAGUAAUGUCUGGGAAACUGCCUGAUGGAGGGGGAUAACUACUGGAAACGGUGGCUAAUACCGCAUAAC